rnacentral:rRNA from 1 species
AUUGAACGCUGGCGGCAGGCCUAACACAUGCAAGUCGAACGGUAACAGGGAUCAGCUUGCUGAUUCGCUGACGAGUGGCGGACGGGUGAGUAAUGUCUGGGAAACUGCCUGAUGGAGGGGGAUAACUACUGGAAACGGUAGCUAAUACCGCAUAACGUCGCAAGACCAAAGAGGGGGACCUUCGGGCCUCUUGCCAUCGGAUGUGCCCAGAUGGGAUUAGCUAGUAGGUGGGGUAACGGCUCACCUAGGCGACGAUCCCUAGCUGGUCUGAGAGGAUGACCAGCCACACUGGAACUGAGACACGGUCCAGACUCCUACGGGAGGCAGCAGUGGGGAAUAUUGCACAAUGGGCGCAAGCCUGAUGCAGCCAUGCCGCGUGUAUGAAGAAGGCCUUCGGGUUGUAAAGUACUUUCAGCGGGGAGGAAGGGAGUAAAGUUAAUACCUUUGCUCAUUGGCGUUACCCGCAGAAGAAGCACCGGCUAACUCCGUG